GAGGCGGGGGCCGGGGCCGGGCCGGGCGGGGCAGGCGGCGCUCGGAGGGGCUGCGGCGGCGCGGAGCCCCUGGGCAGCGACCGCAAUCCUUCCCCGGUCCCGACCCCUGCGCCCGCUGCAUCGGCCUCCAGCCUUUCCGAGAAGCGCCUCGGACACGGGAGAAACGAGGAGGUCCCGGCAGACAUUUCGGGUUUCGCAAGGAGCGCGGUUUCCUGACAGACGAGCGCGCAGGGAGCAGGCAGCGGGGGGAAAUCCUGCCGCCGCCCCACGGCGCCCGGGCGGCCCGGCUCGGCGGACGGGCAUGGAUGCACUAAUGGACGGAUGGAGGAUGAGCGCUGCCGGCGAGCAGGUGAGACCUGCCAAUCCCUUGCCUUCACUGAAAAUCUGGGAUUUUGCUGUUUGUGCCGGUUAAACCUCUAUUCCUGUACCUCACACUAGCUUAAAAGAUAAAAAAUAAAAUUCUGUUCAUCACUGAAUAACCUCUUUCA
rnacentral:lncRNA from 1 species